rnacentral:tRNA from 1 species
UGGGAUAUAGUUCAGAGGUAGAACGUCUGACUGUUAAUCAGAAUGCCGUGGGUUCGAUCCCCACUAUCCCAG